GCGGAAGUAGUUCAGUGGUAGAACAUCACCUUGCCAUGGUGGGGGUCGCGCGUUCGAAUCCCGUCUUCCGCU
rnacentral:tRNA from 1 species